ACCUGGCUGGCUCAGUUGGUGGAGCAUGGGACUCCUGAUCUCGGAGUUGUGGGUUUUAGCCCCACGUUUGGUA
rnacentral:tRNA from 1 species